UACGUAGGGCGCGAGCGUUGUCCGGAAUUAUUGGGCGUAAAGAGCUCGUAGGCGGUUUGUCGCGUCGUCCGUGAAAACUUGGGGCUCAACCCCAAGCUUGCGGGCGAUACGGGCAGACUUGAGUACUGCAGGGGAGACUGGAAUUCCUGGUGUAGCGGUGAAAUGCGCAGAUAUCAGGAAGAACACCCGUGGCUAAGGCGGCUCUCUAGUACGGUACUGACGCUGAGACGCGAAAGCGUGGGGAGCGAACAGG
rnacentral:rRNA from 1 species